rnacentral:rRNA from 1 species
AACGAACGCUGGCGGCAGGCCUAACACAUGCAAGUCGAACGCUCUCUUCGGAGGGAGUGGCAGACGGGUGAGUAACGCGUGGGAACCUACCUAGAGGUACGGAAUAACUCGAGGAAACUCGUGCUAAUACCGUAUACGCCCUUCGGGGGAAAGAUUUAUCGCCUUUAGAUGGGCCCGCGUUGGAUUAGCUAGUUGGUGAGGUAAUGGCUCACCAAGGCAACGAUCCAUAGCUGGUCUGAGAGGAUGAUCAGCCACACUGGGACUGAGACACGGCCCAGACUCCUACGGGAGGCAGCAGUGGGGAAUAUUCGGCAAUGGGCGCAAGCCUGACCGAGCCAUGCCGCGUGAGUGACGAAGGCCUUAGGGUUGUAAAGCUCUUUUGGCGGGGAAGAUAAUGACUGUACCCGCAGAAUAAGUCCCGGCUAACUUCG